UUUAUAUAAAGGCAAUUUACAUACAGGAAGGGAGCAAGCUGCAAAGUUCAACACUGGGCCGUUUAUUCUCUCCAUUGCAACAUCACUCAGAAAAUUACAGUCAUCAGCGUCCUGAGUUUAUUACACCCCCAGCAAGACACACAAGAAAUGUAACUGGACUGAUGAUCAUCACAAAUCAGUCCAGAAAAAAAAAUUCAAAACACAUGCACGGGGAUCAUUUUUUUUUUUUCAAAGAAGCUCUGCCACAUGCAUUCCAAGAGGAACGUGGAAUUCAAGUUAGAGGGCUCUAAGUGGAAGGGAGAAGAGGCACAACCAUAUGAUUUGUGGUUGGAACAGAAAAAGGACGUCUGAUGUUCUCCUUCCUCCCCCUACCCUAAUGUUCGGCGCUUGGAGACGCACGGUCUGCUAAACUUAUCAUUUAACGUAGAGAAUCAAGUUGUUGAGACUGGCUUUUCUUCCAACCGGAUACCUGAAGGGUGGAGCAGGCGCCCCCUGUUCUGUCCCAGCAACCUACGAAGACUUCCGAACAGGAAGUAUUCGUCAAACAGAAAAGGAUAAAAAAUGAGUUUAUUCAUAAUGGCUAUUAUAGGCUCUGAAGUUUCAGUAACAUGCUGAAGGUGGGGCUCUCUGUGGUCCACGUUAAUCCACUACAGCUGAGGCUCAUUACCUGUGACGCCUUAGACAAGGUAUUGUCUUAACCUUGAAAAUCUGUAUAAUGGGGAUACUAAAACUUGAUAUAAAUUGCAAAAAAAAAAUAAUUGAAAUAGAGAAUUUAGUAAGUUGGAAUCUCACAUGGAAAAUAGGACACAUCUGUGUUCCUUACCCCUACCCUACACAUGUCACAACUAGAAACAGAACAUAUCAUACAACUCAAAUGGCUCCCACAAAUCACGACAACUAUGGUUAUGUACUGUGCUUAAAGCACAUGAAGAAUAUGAGCCACUUAAUCUGCUGGGCCAAGGACAGGCCCAUGCGAUGGCAAUUCCACCAAGGGCCUGAAAAGAUGAUCCAUUUAGUUCUUCAGACUUCUCCCUCCUCUCUUGGUCUCCCCAUGGACAAUGCUCCAGAAUGGGUUGGAUCAGGGAACUAGAUGCCCUGAUAACCGAAUAAACACUUGUUUAUCAAACAAAGGCUAAAGUUUAAAUCGAAAAAGCAGACAGUAAGCCAAAAGCUAACCCAGAGGAGUUUUUAGUUGCUCAGGGUGGAUGGAAAACAAUAGAAUGUAUGUUUGGGCCUAUUGAGAGGGUGGCGUCAUUGGAAGCAGGUCCUACAAGGCUAGUCAACACAGAAGAUGCUUUCCCUGGGUCGUUCCACCUGUCCUCAGGGAAAGAAGAGAAAACUCCAAUGGCCUGUGUGUGGCCUAUUAUGUUUAGUCCUUCAGACCUCCAUGGGGCACUGCUUUUGUGCCAGGCAGUGUGUUGAGUCCUGGAUCUAACAAAGAUAUCCAAGGUGGACAGCAUUGCCACACUCAAGGAGGGCAUGGUCCAUCUUUUUUUAGUUGAAUUGAAUAGCUUCCCAAAAGCAAAGAUAAGCUUACAGAUAUUUCUACUUUUUCUAAGACCCAGCUAUGCCAUUAAGAGACAGCCUUGGGCAGGUGUAACCAUUUAGAAUACCCACUUUUUCGAGUGAGGAAUGAGCUGGAAGCCCUCUUGUAGCUGUAAUAUUGUGCGGUGCUGUGAUAUCUGGGAAAAGAUGAAUCUGAAAGGAACUUCUGGAUGCCCAGAACCACCUCCUAUAAUAGUGCCCGGCUACUCCUUUGGAGCCCUUCCCUUCUGCCCCUCAUUGUAGCCUUUAGUCAAGGAUUUUGUGGCUUAGUUAUUUACAUCUCAAGUGUCUCUCUGGACUGUUGAGUUCUUUGAAGAUUAGACCACAUGAGUGAGAUUGAUGUUUCUUGCCUACCUAACAUUCUUUAAUCAGGCCCUUCUCCAGCUCCCUCUUCCCACUCUCUUUUGUUCUCCAGGCUGACGCCAUCUUGGCUCUGUUCCUUUUACAAAGCCAGUCUUGUGUCUGCCUUUGGGACUUUGUCUAUGCCACGGUCUCCACCUGGGAUGAUUUCCUCCUGGUGCUCACAUGGCUGGAUCCUUCUUGCCAUUCGGAUCUUAGAGUAAACAUCAUUUACACAAUGGACCUAAACCACCCAGCUGGCCAUCCUUUGCCACUCACCCUAUUUCAAUGAUCUGCAUAUUAGUUUUAUUAUCUGACAUUUUUCUUGGGUUCAUUAUCUCCUUGCACUAGAAAGUAGCCUCUGUAAGACAGGGAUGAUAUUUGUUUGAUUCUUCAUAGUAUCCCUGAUGCCCGGAAGAGUGUCUGGCCUAAAGGAAGUGCUUAAUAAAUGAAACAACUUAAUAAUAUACCCCUUAUAUAUUGCUGAGUACAUAAUUGUUUCUCAAUAAAUUAUGGUUUUCCUCCCUUCAUCUCAUAAUCAAGGGUACGU